GGGGAUGUAGCUCAGCGGUAGAGCAUGUGCUUUGCGUGCACCAGGCCCCGGGUUCGGCCCCGGGCAUCUCCA
rnacentral:tRNA from 1 species